AUUGAACGCUGGCGGCAUGCUUACACAUGCAAGUCGAACGGUAACAGGCCGCAAGGUGCUGACGAGUGGCGAACGGGUGAGUAAUGCAUCGGAACGUGCCCAGGCGUGGGGGAUAACUACUCGAAAGAGUAGCUAAUACCGCAUACGAUCUAUGGAUGAAAGCGGGGGACCGGAAGGCCUCGCGCGAUUUGAGCGGCCGAUGUCAGAUUAGGUAGUUGGUGGGGUAAAGGCUCACCAAGCCAACGAUCUGUAGCUGGUCUGAGAGGACGACCAGCCACACUGGGACUGAGACACGGCCCAGACUCCUACGGGAGGCAGCAGUGGGGAAUUUUGGACAAUGGGCGCAAGCCUGAUCCAGCAAUGCCGCGUGCAGGAAGAAGGCCUUCGGGUUGUAAACUGCUUUUGUACGGAACGAAACGGCUCUGGUUAAUACCCGGGGCUAAUGACGGUACCGUAAGAAUAAGCACCGGCUAACUACGUG
rnacentral:rRNA from 1 species